AUACGUAGGGUGCGAGCGUUGUCCGGAAUUACUGGGCGUAAAGAGCUCGUAGGUGGUUUGUCGCGUCGUCUGUGAAAUUCCGGGGCUUAACUCCGGGCGUGCAGGCGAUACGGGCAUAACUUGAGUACUGUAGGGGAGACUGGAAUUCCUGGUGUAGCGGUGAAAUGCGCAGAUAUCAGGAGGAACACCGGUGGCGAAGGCGGGUCUCUGGGCAGUACCUGACGCUGAGGAGCGAAAGCAUGGGUAGCGACCAGGAUUAGAUACCCUGGUAGCCCAUGCCGUAAACGGUGGGCGCUAGGUGUAGGGGUCUUCCACGACUUCUGUGCCGUAGCUAACGCAUUAAGCGCCCCGCCUGGGGAGUACGGCCGCAAGGCUAAAACUCAAAGGAAUUGACGGGG
rnacentral:rRNA from 1 species